rnacentral:rRNA from 1 species
AACGAACGCUGGCGGCAUGCCUAACACAUGCAAGUCGAACGAGACCUUCGGGUCUAGUGGCGCACGGGUGCGUAACGCGUGGGAACCUGCCCUUAGGUUCGGAAUAACUCCCCGAAAGGGGUGCUAAUACCGGAUAAUGUCUUCGGACCAAAGAUUUAUCGCCUUUGGAUGGGCCCGCGUUGGAUUGGCUAGUUGGUAGGGUAAAAGCCUACCAAGGCGACGAUCCAUAGCUGGUCUGAGAGGAUGAUCAGCCACACUGGGACUGAGACACGGCCCAGACUCCUACGGGAGGCAGCAGUGGGGAAUAUUGGACACUGGGCGAAAGCCUGAUCCAGCAAUGCCGCGUGAGUGAUGAAGGCCUUAGGGUUGUAAAGCUCUUUUACCCGGGAUGAUAAUGACAGUACCGGGAGAAUAAGCACCGGCUAACUCCGUG